rnacentral:rRNA from 1 species
UACGAAGGGUGCAAACGUUGCUCGGAAUUAUUGGGCGUAAAGCGCACGUAGGCGGCUUUGCAAGUCGGAUGUGAAAUCCCUCGGCUUAACCAAGGAAGUGCAUCCGAAACUGCAGAGCUUGAGUACUUAAGAGGAUCGCGGAAUUCCCGGUGUAGAGGUGAAAUUCGUAGAGAUCCGGAGGAACACCAAAGGCGAAGGCAGUGUCCUGGGGAGUACCUGACGGCUCAGGUGCGAAAGCCAGGGGAGCGGAA